rnacentral:lncRNA from 1 species
AGCAGCCUGGAGCUGAGAAGUGAAGCCUGAAGGGUGCAGAUCUGAUCUCUCUUGGAUUCCUUUGGACAUCUUUGAAGCAGCCUCUUUGAAUACCAUCAAGCAAGAGGCUCCUGACAAAGAAGAGAAAAGAAAAGAAAAAGAAAAGAAAAGAAAAGAAAAGAAAAGAAAAGAAAAGAAAAGAAAAGAAAAGAAAAGAAAAUAAAAGAAAAGAAAAAAGAAAAGAAAAGAAAAGAAAAGAAAAGAAAAGAAAAGAAAAAAACAGGAAUGUAGCUAUUUGGUCUAAGACUUGAAGGAAAUUAGGGAUUCCAAGAGGCAGAGGUAAGAAGGGAAAGCAUUCUUGGUGUGGAGGGACAACCAAUAUACUGAGGUAUAAAAUGUGGGACGAACAGCCAGCUGAUCAGUAUGACUGGCUUCUACCAGUGCAUUACAAGAGAAUAAUACAGAAUAAUACUGGAGAGA